GAGGAAUAUUGGUCAAUGGACGUAAGUCUGAACCAGCCAAGUAGCGUGCAGGAUGACGGCCCUAUGGGUUGUAAACUGCUUUUAUGUGGGAAUAAAGUGGCGCACGUGUGCGCCAUUGCAUGUACCUCAUGAAUAAGGACCGGCUAAUUCCGUGCCAGCAGCCGCGGUAAUACGGAAGGUCCGGGCGUUAUCCGGAUUUAUUGGGUUUAAAGGGAGUGUAGGCGGUCUGUUAAGCGUGUUGUGAAAUUUAGGUGCUCAACAUUUAACUUGCAGCGCGAACUGUCAGACUUGAGUACACGCAACGUAUGCGGAAUUCAUGGUGUAGCGGUGAAAUGCUUAGAUAUCAUGAAGAACUCCGAUUGCGAAGGCAGCAUACGGGAGUGUAACUGACGCUUAAGCUCGAAGGUGCGGGUAUCGAACAGGAUUAGAUACCCUGGUAGUCCGCACAGUAAACGAUGGAUGCCCGCUGUUAGCGCCUGGCGUUAGCGGCUAAGCGAAAGCAUUAAGCAUCCCACCUGGGGAGUACGCCGGCAACGGUG
rnacentral:rRNA from 1 species